GACGAACGCUGGCGGCGUGCUUAACACAUGCAAGUCGAACGGAAAGGCCCUGCUUUUGUGGGGUGCUCGAGUGGCGAACGGGUGAGUAACACGUGAGUAACCUGCCCUUGACUUUGGGAUAACUUCAGGAAACUGGGGCUAAUACCGGAUAGGAGCUCCUGCUGCAUGGUGGGGGUUGGAAAGUUUCGGCGGUUGGGGAUGGACUCGCGGCUUAUCAGCUUGUUGGUGGGGUAGUGGCUUACCAAGGCUUUGACGGGUAGCCGGCCUGAGAGGGUGACCGGCCACAUUGGGACUGGGAUACGGCCCAGACUCCUACGGGAGGCAGCAGGGGGGAAUAUUGCACAAUGGGCGGAAGCCUGAGGCAGCAACGCCGCGUGCGGGAUGACGGCUUCGGGUUGUAAACCGCUUUCGCCUGUGACGAAGCGUGAGUGACGGUAAUGGGUAAAGAAGCACCGGCUAACUACGUG
rnacentral:rRNA from 1 species